GCAUAAAGAAGGUACGGGCAUGUGCUGCGUGUUUACACAGAGAGAGGCGGAGGGAGAUAAGGCGAGAGUUAAAACUGCUGGCGGUGGAAGGACUGAAGCUUAGAUGGAGGCCAACAGGAAAAACACUGCAGGGUUAAAAACAAGAGAGGGAAAAUGUUUUUAUGGUGGUUAAACACACAACAGCUCCGAGACACCAUUCAAGCAAGUCAUGGAUGAAGCUCAGCAGUUUCACACACAGCAGAAACACUCCACAGUCACAGUUUAGGAAACAAGCUCCACCAGACAAAGAAGACGAAGAAGAAGAAGAAGAAGAAGAAGAAGAAGAAGAAGAAGAAGAAGACAAAGAAGAUGCAUUAAAUGGAGAGCUGUCAGAGCAAGGAAGUCACCCUUGGACUGGCACCCUGAGCAGUUGGAGGUUUGGUGUCUUGCUGAAGGGCACCUCAGCAGUGCCCAGGAGACAAACUGGCAUCUCUCUGGCUACCAGUCCACACUUCAUGCUUGGUCUGUACGGAGACUUGAAGCGGUGACCCUCAGGUUUCCAGCCCAAGGGCCCCUGGACUGAGCUACUGCCGCUAACUCGCUCUCCUCCUGCUGAUGACAUCACAGAUUUGUUGUUCACGAUGUAACGACAGGCUGCGUCCUUUGACACUACUGAGUCCUUUCAUCACGACGAUGUUUCUGGAAAGAUCUCUGUUUGUCCCAAACACGUUUCCUGUUGUUCCUGGGACGAUGGGACAGAGGAGCGGAGGGUGCAGGAAGGGGUGUAGGGGUGGAGAAGGUCUUUAAGGUAGGAGGGGGCCUGGUUGUGAAGUGCUUUGUUGGUAAGUUGGGGGAUUUUGGAUUGGAUACGGUAUGUGGUCACGGGAGCGGGUGUGGGUGAGGAGGCGGGCAGCAGAGUUCUGGAUAUACUGAAGUUUAUUUAGGAACUUGGAGGUUGAGCCGUAGAGGAAACUGUUGCUGUAGUCGAUUCGAGAUGUAAUAAAAGCAUGAAUGAGAGUUUCAGCUGCAGGGAAGGAGAGAGACGGGCGGAGGCGGGCGAUGUUUUUGAGAUGGUAGAAUGCUGAUUUGGUGACUUGCUUGAUGUGUUGGUUGAAGGAGAGAUUGCUGUCAAAGAUGACUCCAAGGUUGAGGCAGUGGGGGGAGGGGGAGAGGGUGGAGUUGUCGAUAAAGAGAUGGAAGUCUUUGGCUGCCAGGGUGAGGGAACUUGGACCAGUUAUGAGUAAGUCUGAUUUGUCGUAGUUGAGUUUGAGGAUAUUUGUUUGCAUCUAGUGUCUGAUAUCAGAGAGACAGUUUGAGAGGUGAUGGCUUUGGUGGAGAUGUAGAGCUGGAUGUCGUCAGCGUAACAGUGGAAUCGGAGGCCGUGACGACGGAUGAUGUGACCGAGGGGGAGGAGGUAGAGGAUAUUCAGUCUGAUAAACACGUUGAUCAUGUUAGUGCAGGGCAGAGCUUUACAUCUGUCCCACAGACGACAGGCCUACACACUUAUAAACAGCUCCUGGAAGAAGAUCAGCUCUGCACUCUUUCACGUAAAUAGCCUAUACCAUGCUUGUUAGGGUUGCUUAGCAACCUUAGAAGCAACCUGCCGCAGCGCUUUUGAAAGCCGGCACAGAAAAGGCACUUGGCACCUGACCUCGCGUUUUCUAGCCAGUUAAAGAUGCUGCGUGUGCACGGCCCCUCAGUCUGGACAUCUGCGCUGUAGCCUGAGACGUGACAGAACAACAUCCGUCAGUGAUGUCAUCUGAUUUACUGAUUGGCUGAUGGCAGUCAAAAGGAAAAUUGGCAGGUACCAACGUGCGGCUGAUGAAUCGAAAACAUCCCUAAAUAUGUGUUUUUGUGAUUUGCUCACAAACUUAAGUCAGUAUCAAACAGUUUGUGUAUAUUUAUGGCUGUAUCUUAAUAUCUGUGUCUUCCUUCACAUCGUGCGGCGCUGUCUCGUGAUUAUUUCUGGAUUUGGGCUGAAUUGUUUUGUUUUUAACGGCAAAACAGAGAGAGGAGAUAAAAGAGGUGGAGACGAACCUCCAGAGAGGAAGAGAUUUCUUAUCAGCGGAGGAAUGUCAGCAGAGUGAAAUCAAAACAAGACGACCUUCAACACACUGAGCCACAGCAGAGAGCCUGAGGUGAACACACUGACGCCGUCGCUGUUUGACGCCCUGAGAAUAAGAACAGGCUGUUUGUUGUUAGAGACUUGUCUGGUUGUUUGAGCUAGUCGAACUUGUUGUUGUUAUUAUCAGCAUGACGGUGAUGUCAGACUGCAACGUCUCUGUUGGAUGGAUCACAUUUUGUAAAGACAUUCAUGUUCCCCUCAGGAUGAACCACACUGACUUUGAUGACUUGUUCUCUGGCGCCACCUGCAGGUUCAGCUUUGUGGUUUUGAGUCUCCACAUCUGUUGGAUGGAUUGUGAUGAAACAUGAUUCAUCGUUCAUGUUCUCCUGAGGACGAUCCGUCAUAACUUUAGUGAUCCUCUGAGAAUUCCUCCAGCGCCAUCAUCAGUGGUCCUGAAAAAGUACCAUCCAGUAAGCUGACUGUGUCUCUGCGGAAUGAAGAAGGAAUCUGACUGCUGCAUCGUCAUCAUAAUCAUCAUCACUUGGUGAAGCAAACCAGAGCUCGUCUGAUGUAGUUCAGCUCCACGUGGUCUCAGUUCAUCACGACUGACUGAGUGAAUGUCGCUCCAGAAGAUAAAGUGAAAUCAUGUUUAAGACAUUUUAACAUUUUCAAACCCAGCAGAGCGACGGUGUCUCUGUCAGACUCAACGCCUCGUGCUAUGACAUUUUAUUAUUUGUCUCAACAGGAGCACAAAGCUGCAACCUACUGCAGGAUGUUUUUCAAAUGUACCUAUAGACAUGCAGAGAGGAAACACAACCUCAACACAGCAGCUGCUUUCAGUCAUCAGUCACAGCUGUCAAUAAAUCAGCUUCAUUCUCCUGAAGCUCUGCACAGUUUGACUUCAGUUUGCAAAGUGAGAGAAGAAGCAGCACAGACUCUCCUGCUUUCACCAACCAGCUCUGCUGAAGCAGCUCAGUCCCCUUACUCCCAUUACUCCCAUUAGUCCCAGUAAGAACAGUGAAAUGAUUCAGACUCACUGUGA